CUAAAAGGCCACAGACCACUUCUGAGUUAAUACAUGUAGAGGACUUGAAAAAAGGACUUGGAACAAUGGCUGCUUAGAGAAAGCUGUAUCACAACAAAUGAUGUUGCUUCCCUGAAAUAACCAGUCAACUGUGCGCAAUGACUGCGAUCUCAGCUCACUGCAACUUCUGCCUCCCGGGUUCAAGUGAUUAUCCUUCCUCAGCCUCCUGAGUAGCUGGGAUUACAGGCGCCCACCCACCAUGCCAGGCUAAUUUUUGCUAGAGACAAGGUGUCACCAUAUUGGCCAGCUGGUCUCGAACUCCUGACCUCAGGAAGAGAAAAAUCUGGACACAGAUAGACACAGAGGAGAGAAGGCCAGGUGAAGACAGAGGCAGAGAUUGGAGUGAUGCUGAAAGCCAAGGAACAGCUGGGGCCACCAGACACCGGACCAGGCAAGAAAAGAUCCUGCCGAGAGGCUAUGGAGGAGGAGGCAGCCUGCUGUCUCAGGCUUUUUGUGAGUGAGAAAUAAACCUUUACGGGGCUAAGUCACAGAUCUCUAAGAACUUAGAUGUCAUUGCAGCGCACCCUGGCCCAC